rnacentral:lncRNA from 1 species
CCCGCAGUAAGGCCUGAAUUAUCCAGCUGCCUAAUCAACACCCAUAAUUAAAUUCUCCACACUUCUCCCCUUUAUUCUGCAUUUCCAGUGACAGUGAACCAACUCCAAAAGAAAGAAAGUACCAGAUUGUUGCUUAUGCCUGCCUUAAUAAUUCUGUGAACUCUUUUAUAAAAAGGCCUGGUAAUUGCUUUGAUGCUUUUCAGUGGAGUGUGAAGUGCUCUAAAGCUCAGCCACGACUUGUCAGAUGCACACGAAAGAAUACGUUUUGGAAUAAGGUCUGGAGCCAAAGGAUUCCCAAGGCAUUCAGUUCUGUUAAGCACUUAGUUUUCCAGGGCUGCUGUAACAAAACACCACAAACUGGGAGACUUAAAACAACAGAAAUUUAUUGGCUCAUAGUUCUGGAAGCUAGAAGCUCAAAAUCAAGGUAUGAACAGGGCCUGCUCCCUUUGAAACCACAGGGGAAUGUUUUUCCUUUUCUCUCCCUAGUUUUUGGCAUUUGCUGGCAGUGCUCAGUGUUGCUUGGCUUUGCAGCUGCAGCAUUUCUAUCUCCGCCUCUGUCAUUAACUGGUGCUCUCCUCUCUGUCUGUCUAUCCCUGGGUCUAAUUUUCCUCUUCUUAUAAGGAAAUGGAUCACACUGAAUUAGGUCCCACCUUUAUACGGGUUGGCAUCAUCUUAACCAAUCACCUUCAAAGAUCCUAUUUUCAAAUAAGGUCACAUUUACAGGACUAGGGGUCAAAACUUGAAUAUGUCUUUUGGGAGGACGUAGUUGAACCCAGAAUAAGCACCAAGAGAAAGCUCAUACUAGCUCAGGAUCUUUUCAUCUUACAUCUUGGAAUCUCUACCCAGCCUUCCCCCUGCCCUGAGCCUGACUCAACCCGUUGAAGUGCUUCUGGAAUGGAAGCUCUCUAAGGGCAAGAAACUUUGUUUAUUUUAUUCACUGCUCAAUUUACAGCAACUAUAACGGUGCCUGGUCCUCUGUAGAUAAUUAAUGCAUAUUGGUGGAAUGAAUGAUAUUAUUUGAUAAAAGACUGGGCAUACCAACAGUUUUUCAUAAACUUGUGGUAAUGUCAGAAAUAAGAACAUUUGACAAGGGACACCUGCAUUAUGAAAAAAAAGUCAACUUCUAUAACCCUUUCAUUUGGAUUCAAUUUCAGAUUAAUCCCCCUUAAUGUAUUUAGUAGUAUUCAGCAGCA